AGCAGCCGCGGUAAUUCCAGCUCCAAUAGCGUAUAUUAAAGUUGUUGCAGUUAAAAAGCUCGUAGUUGAAUUUCGGGGUUCUACCGUUGGUCGGGCUUUGUCUGUACUGGCGUGUAGAAUUUCUACCUUCUGGGGAACCAUCAUGUUAUUAAUUUAACGUGGUGGGAAACCAGGACCUUUACCUUGAAAAAAUUAGAGUGUUCAAAGCAGGCUUAUGUCUGAAUACAUUAGCAUGGAAUAAUAGAAUAGGACGGUGGUCCUGUUUUGUUGGUUUCUGAAUCACCGUAAUGAUUAAUAGGGAUAGUUGGGGGCAUUAGUAUUCAAUUGUCAGAGGUGAAAUUCUUGGAUUGAU
rnacentral:rRNA from 1 species